CCUACGGGAGGCAGCAGUAGGGAAUCUUCCACAAUGGGCGCAAGCCUGAUGGAGCAACACCGCGUGAGGGAAGAAGGGUUUCGGCUCGUAAAGCUCUGUUGUUGGAGAAGAACGUGCGUGAGAGUAACUGUUCACGCAGUGACGGUAUCCAACCAGAAAGUCCCGGCUAACUACGUGCCAGCAGCCGCGGUAAUACGGAGGGGGCAAGCGUUAUCCGGAGUUAUUGGGCGUAAAGCGGGCGCAGGCGGUUGCUUAGGUCUGAUGUGAAAGCCUGUGGCUUAACGGAAGAAGUGCAUCUGAAACCGUGAAACUUGAGUGUGGGAGAGGAAAGUGGAAUUCCAGGUGUAGGGGUGGAAUGCGUAGAUAUAUGGAAGAAUACCAGUGGCGAAGGCGACUGUCUGGUACAUAACUGACGCUGAGGCUCGAAAGCAUGGGUAGCAAACAGGAUUAGAUACCCGAGUAGUC
rnacentral:rRNA from 1 species